CGAUCACGUUCACAUCGCAUUCACAUUAUCUCCACUUUCUCUCUCUUUCUCUGUCUGUCAACUGCUCGAUGUAAUUGCCAUUUACUGAAACCGAUACCAAUUUCUGCUCAUUGGAGUUGGCCCUCUUCAAGCUUUUCUCUACACAAUCGCAAAUCUUGUUCAUUCAUUCUUCUUAUCAUAUUCAAGUACCAGGGAGUAUUUCUUUUGCUUGAAAUCACAUUAAUUCCACCCUCUGUUUCUGAAUUAUCACCUUUCCCACCAAGUACUGGCCUUUGCUCUUUUCCACCAAUGCUAAUUUGCUUAGCCUGAAACGCAUUGAAUGCUUAAUAAAGUGCUCUGAAUUGUUUUCAUCUUCAUGUUCAUCGCCCAGGUUCUGCCAAUCAGAACUUCCAUCUCUCUCUUUCUGUGAAAAAUGUUUUAAAUGCUGUAAUUAUUAUUAUUUCAUUUCUUCAUUAUCUAAACAAGACAAAACAAAACCACCCCAUAUACUGCAAAACCGGUUUUUGCCAUUGAUUUCUUUCUCUUUGAUACCCCACCCUCCAUGAUCCCCUCUCAUUAGACCCACCAUUUUUAAAGAACGAACGCCCUUUUGUACCAUCUUUGAGCACAAAAUAUCCUUGAUUAACAGUAGCGGCAACACCGCAUCUUCACAAUAUCACCAGGACACAAUGACCCACUUGGACUUGUGCAAGAAAUUCAAACGCUUGAAUCCUCUUGAGCCCUCUCUUGGCAUUCUUGGUUUCCUUCUGGUCACUCUCCUUUUCAUUGGCUGCUUCUUCUACUUGGAUUACCGAUCUGUCACUCGUGGCCUGCGGCACCAUGGGGUUUCUUGGCUGGGACUGGUUACUCCAUCUUCAUCAUCAGAACUGAAUACUGAUAAUGGACGGCCGGGUUUUCUUGAUAAGCGUGGUGUUGGGUGUGACAUUUUUGAUGGGAACUGGAUUUGGGACGAUAGCUAUCCCUUGUAUCAGAGUAAAGAUUGCUCCUUUAUAGAUACUGGGUUUAGGUGUUUAGAGAAUGGAAGGCCUGACAGUUUCUACACCAAGUGGCGUUGGCAACCCAAUCAUUGUGACUUGCCGAGAUUUGAUGCAAAGGUGAUGUUGGAAAAGCUGAGGAACAGGCGGCUUGUAUUUGUUGGGGACUCAGUUGGAAGAAACCAAUGGGAGUCCCUCCUUUGUAUGCUUGCCACUGCUGUUCGUGACAAUUCUUCAAUCUAUGAGGUGAAUGGGAGGCCAAUCACAAAGCAUAGAGGGUUUCUAGCGUUCAUGUUCAAGGACUAUAAUUGCACUGUUGAAUAUUACAGAGCUCCAUUUCUAAUUUACCAGGGCCGUCCUCCAGUUGGUGCUCCAGAAAAGGUGAAAAUGACUUUAAGAGUAGAUAAAUUGGAUUGGACUUCCCCUCAGUGGAGAAAUGCGGAUGUGUUGAUUUUCAACUCUGGUCAUUGGUGGAAUUAUGAGAAGACCAUAAGAGUGGAUUGCUACUUCCAAGAGGGGGAUGAGGUAAAGAUGGAUAUGAGCGUUGAAACUGCAUACCGAAGAUCACUUGAAACUUUGAUUGAUUGGACGCAUAGCAAAAUAAAUAUGAGCAAGACUCAAGUCUUCUUUCGAACCUAUGCUCCUAUUCAUUUCAGAGGUGGCGAUUGGAAGACUGGUGGUAGCUGUCACAUGGAAAAGCUUCCUGACUUGGGCUCACUGCCGAGUUCAUCAGAUUACCAUUUCAAAAUACUUUUCGAUGUGUUAUUAGAGCACUCAAAUGAAUCACAUGUGAUGAACUUGGAUUUAUUGAAUGUGACGAACAUGGCAGCACAGAGAAAGGAUGGCCAUGCAUCUGUGUACUAUCUAGAGCCUGGAAUUGGUCCAGCUUCUCUACACCGUCAAGACUGCAGUCAUUGGUGCUUGCCUGGUGUCCCUGAUUCCUGGAAUGAACUUCUUUAUGCAUUUCUUCUCAAGCGGGAGUCUGCUCAUGCACAAAAUUCAACAGAAUCUUCUCAAGCUCCAUUGUGAUUAGUACAGAUAGCUUUCUGAUUUUUCCAACAUGAUUAGAGUGCAGGUUCCUUGCACCAACCGGCAAAAUCAUCAUUUUGUAUAUUGGUUUCUAUUUGAUCAAUCAUAGUUUGCCAUAACACCUCUGGCAAACGAUCAAAUUAUACUAUUUUUGGCGAUGGUCUUCCGUCCCUCUAUCUUGAAUGUACCAUGAUGGUGAUUGAACAGAAGAUGAGCCUAAUAGGCAUCAAGAGAGGUGAGAGAAUCAUGGCAGCGGAUUUGUAGUACAGGCAAGUUGACGAAACAAAGUUGAUACUCAGGAAGAGAAUGUAGGUGUUGAACUGUAAAGCUUGUCAAACUGAUGAUAUCGAAUUGCGAGAAGCACAUAAAGCAGGGGUUGCACUAGAUGAUGUUGACAAGGAUGGCAAGGAGAUCAGUCCUCAUUUUCCCUUUUCCCCCAGUAUAUGUUAUAAUGUUAUCUGCACCUUUGCACAGCUUGAAAUCAACAGCUUGCCAAUAAAUCACAUCCAGCUAUGGUCGUUAUGUUGAGAUAAGUGAAAUCUGCUUGGGAAAUUAAAGGAGAAAACAGAUGGGGACCAAAAUGAUGUUGAUGUUGGCGGGGGUUUAGUUAUAAGCUCGGGGAUGAUCUGAUGUAGAUUAUCCUAUCUUUUAAUGGGGGCAAUGCACUUUGAGAAGCAGAGGAACUGUUCGUCAGGGCCAUGUUUAGCCGUAGGAUACAGUUUUUGCUGGUUUAACUUUCCAGUAUUCUUCUGUAUUUCCAAUAGAAAAUUAGAAAACAUGUUCAAACAAAGCUGGUUUCCAAAUGUUGGAAAACUGGAAACCUGGAGAUCUUGUUCAAAAUCUCACAUUUCCAGUAGCAAGUCUAUUCCCAGUUCUGCCAUUAUCAUCAUUCCAAAUGGAGCGUCUAUGAAGCUGUCUAUUUCCUGUUAGGAAUUUCCUUUCUUUGCCAUCCCAUGAUGCAUGUAUUUUCUAUCAUUCAGGAAAAUUGUAGUAUGAGGUAUUUCCUAUAGUAGUUGCAUUAUAGUUGACGGUGAUAGCGCUGAUGUUUUA